AUUGAACGCUGGCGGCAUGCUUUACACAUGCAAGUCGAGCGGUAACAGGCCUUCGGGUGCUGACGAGUGGCGAACGGGUGAGUAAUUCAUCGGAACGUACCCAGAGGUGGGGGAUAGCGCAGCGAAAGCUGUGCUAAUACCGCAUGUGAUCUGAGGAUGAAAGCGGGGGACCGAGCAGCAAUGUUUGGCCUCGCGCCUUUGGAGCGGCCGAUGUCGGAUUAGCUAGUUGGUGGGGUAAAGGCCUACCAAGGCGACGAUCCGUAGCUGGUCUGAGAGGACGGCCAGCCACACUGGGACUGAGACACGGCCCAGACUCCUACGGGAGGCAGCAGUGGGGAAUGUUGGACAAUGGGCGCAAGCCUGAUCCAGCAAUGCCGCGUGCGGGAAGAAGGCCUUCGGGUUGUAAACCGCUUUUGGCAGGAACGAAACGGUGUCCGCUAAUACCGGGCGCUAAUGACGGUACCUGCAGAAUAAGCACCGGCUAACUACGUG
rnacentral:rRNA from 1 species